rnacentral:tRNA from 1 species
GACCGUUUAGCUCAGUGGGUUGAUCGUGGUGCUGAUAACACCAAGAUCAUGGGUUUGAUUCCCGUUCAGUCC